AAGUCGUAACAAGGUUUCCGUAGGUGAACCUGCGGAAGGAUCAUUAACACGUAUCCAAACGUAAAAAACCCCCCCCGUGAACAUUCAAUCCUGCUCUUGUAACCCGCGUAGUUCGCAAUCUCUGGUAAAUCAUAGCCCGGAAAGUAGUUUUGAUUCAGAGACCUCUGGCUACGUGAGAACAUUGGAACAGUUACAAUCGAGCGGUAGUUUCAUAGGCAUUGUUUCCCCAAGCAGUUAGUGUCUGACGAUUCCUGUAGACCGUACACUCGGGCAGGAGCUAUGCCGCCCCCUUAUAACCCCACAGUUUAAUGUGAAGCUCAAUGUAAUACAUUGGGUACAAAAACCGAACAACUGUUAACAAUGGAUAUCUUGGUUCUC
rnacentral:misc_RNA from 1 species